CUCCUAAUAUAACUCCACGGCCGCAGAGCACACAAUCCCCGCCCCUAACGAGUCACUGGCCGGGUUAACCAACCAGAGCAGAGCUGCUCUGACGUUCGAUUGUAGUCCUGUUCGUCGACGUAAAGACGUGAGCAUUUCCAGCAGCUGCACCGUGCUUGACUGUAGGAGUGGGGCUGCACUGAGACUUCUGUCAGAUACACCAAGGAGAAGGACGAGCAUAAUGGGGGGAGGACAGAGUCAUGACCAACAAGGCCAGGCAGAAGAAAGACCGCACACAGGCCCCAGCGAAACCCCAGCAGAGGCACCGUCACGUGAAGAGAGCAAUGGACCACUUGCAGGGGAGCUGCUGCAGCGCGUGCUGGGAACCAGGACGGUGGAUGACAUGUGCUUCAUGAUCACCUGCACCAACUGGUACUAGAAGCCGCUGCACCCUGCAGGACUGGGGACGCUACUGCAGCAAGACUGGCACAGCCGCCUCCUCCUCGCCCAGUCCGUUACGAACGAGCCGCUGCCCGAACUCAGCAUUAGAGUACGCUUCUGCUAAUGGGGGAUUUCAUUUAGCAUAUUUAUAAUCAAGCCUACGAAACCUGCUUUCUGAACAGCAAUCAAGGGUUUUUCAGCUUGUGUCAUUCUUCAAGCUCAAAAUCCUUUGAAAAUACUGAGCAGGUAAUCAUUAAAGCCAGUCCAGUUUCAGACCGUGUCGUUUGUGAUCAUCCCAGUUUAUUAACUGCAGGGUUCGAAUGACGUCACGGUAGAGUGAGAUGCAGGGCAUGAAAUCACACACAAGACACAUCGGAGAAAGUUUUUAUGACGGCUCCCUUUAUUUUUAUUGACAAAUUGAUUUGAAAUACAACAUGGUGAGAGAAUCCUAGAUACAUCACAGUGUAGAGUUAAAAAAAACAAACCAAGGAACCAAAAGCGAAGCCAACACCUUGCUGUGUUCAGUACGAGUGACAAUCGCAACCACGUCGCUUGAAAAGGAAGAAAAGUGCUUUGUUUUGGAUGUACUUCAAAUUGUUGUUAGCAAGGAAAUAAAAAAACACACACAAACAGCUGAAGACCGCUCACAAGCCCCAGCUAUAAACAGUGGGUGUUUUUUUGUCUUUUUACCUUCCUGAUUUUUCCUUUUUUUGCUGAUGUUGAUUAGCAGUGGUGAAUUCAAUAAACAUAAUGAUAUAUGUACAAAUUAUCAGAACUA